GCACAAGCGGUGGAGCAUGUGGUUAAUUCGAAGCAACGCGAAGAACCUUACCAGGUCUUGACAUCCCCUGACAACCCGAGAGAUCGGGCGUUCCCCUUCGGGGGACAGGGUGACAGGUGGUGCAUGGUUGUCGUCAGCUCGUGUCGUGAGAUGUUGGGUUAAGUCCCGCAACGAGCGCAACCCUCGACCUUAGUUGCCAGCAUUCAGUUGGGCACUCUAAGGUGACUGCCGGCUAAAAGUCGGAGGAAGGUGGGGAUGACGUCAAAUCAUCAUGCCCCUUAUGACCUGGGCUACACACGUGCUACAAUGGGCGGUACAAAGGGUCGCGAACCCGCGAGGGGGAGCCAAUCCCAAAAAGCCGCUCUCAGUUCGGAUUGCAGGCUGCAACUCGCCUGCAUGAAGCCGGAAUCGCUAGUAAUCGCGGAUCAGCAUGCCGCGGUGAAUACGUUCCCGGGCCUU
rnacentral:rRNA from 1 species